rnacentral:rRNA from 1 species
CACGUAGGGCGCAAGCGUUGUCCGGAAUUAUUGGGCGUAAAGAGCUCGUAGGCGGUCUGUUACGUCUGCUGUGAAAACCCUGGGCUUAACCCUGGGCUUGCAGUGGAUACGGGCAGACUAGAGGCAGGUAGGGGAGAAUGGAAUUCCCGGUGUAGCGGUGAAAUGCGCAGAUAUCGGGAGGAACACCGGUGGCGAAGGCGGUUCUCUGGGCCUGACCUGACGCUGAGGAGCGAAAGCGUGGGGAGCGAAACAGGG